AGCGAACGCUGGCGGCAGGCCUAAUACAUGCAAGUCGAACGAACUCUUCGGAGUUAGUGGCGGACGGGUGAGUAACACGUGGGAACGUGCCUUUAGGUUCGGAAUAACUCAGGGAAACUUGUGCUAAUACCGAAUGUGCCCUUCGGGGGAAAGAUUUAUCGCCUUUAGAGCGGCCCGCGUCUGAUUAGCUAGUUGGUGAGGUAAAGGCUCACCAAGGCGACGAUCAGUAGCUGGUCUGAGAGGAUGAUCAGCCACAUUGGGACUGAGACACGGCCCAAACUCCUACGGGAGGCAGCAGUGGGGAAUCUUGCGCAAUGGGCGAAAGCCUGACGCAGCCAUGCCGCGUGAAUGAUGAAGGUCUUAGGAUUGUAAAAUUCUUUCACCGGGGACGAUAAUGACGGUACCCGGAGAAGAAGCCCCGGCUAACUUCGUG
rnacentral:rRNA from 1 species